rnacentral:lncRNA from 1 species
AUGGUGGCUGUGGCCGUUCCGUCCUCCGUCCGCUCCCGCUCCGUCAUGAGAGGAGAUAGAGCCCUGAAACAAAGAAAAAACUAUUCAAGGGCCAUGCCACCCAGUCAUCACCAACUGCACAGCUCUUCGGGAACUGCAAGCGGGGAGGGUGCAUCGACUUCCCAAUGUGUCGGCGCAACAAGACUGGUGGGAAAAAGGUCUUGUCUUCAUCCCGGAGAUGUUCAUGUCCAGAUAAACUCCGUACCGAAAGAAUAUGUUGAAAAGCCAAGCUCCGGAAAUAUGAGGUCAGGUGUCCACAGCUGGACUCGUGAAUGCGUACACAGUGCAUUCCGGAGUCCCUCCCACAGUGAAGCAGACAGCCUGGUGACGCUGCCGCCCAGGCUUGAAGACCUGGAGGUGGCUCCUGCUCAGAAUUCCGUCAUCUUUUCAAGUGGUUGUAAAAAUGCCUUCCAUAUUCUGAUUCUGGGUGUCAAACUUGUUCCCCAGCAUAUAACAGGGAUUUCUCUUGGAAGCGGGCCCCUAACAACUUUUAGGUAUGCAAACAAAAGCAUUGUAAAUCAGUUUUUUCUGAGAAUUUACUGAGAUAUCAUAAAUAAAAUUCAUCCAUUUCAAACUCGCGCAACUACAAGUCAUCUGAUUCUGGACAAAAAGUAUAUAUAUAUGUUGGAGAAAAAUCAGCAUCUUUAACAAACAGUGCUGGGAAAACUGGAUACCUACUUGUAGAUGACUGAAACUGGAUCCC